UAAACCAUGCACCGAAGCUGCGGCAGCGACACUAUGUGUUGUUGGGUAGGGGAGCGUUCUGUAAGCCUGCGAAGGUGACCUGUGAGGGUUGCUGGAGGUAUCAGAAGUGCGAAUGCUGACAUAAGUAACGAUAAAGCGGGUGAAAAGCCCGCUCGCCGGAAGACCAAGGGUUCCUGUCCAACGUUAAUCGGGGCAGGGUGAGUCGACCCCUAAGGCGAGGCCGAAAGGCGUAGUCGAUGGGAAACAGGUUAAUAUUCCUGUACUUGGUGUUACUGCGAAGGGGGGACGGAGAAGGCUAUGUUAGCCGGGCGACGGUUGUCCCGGUUUAAGCAUGUAGGCUGAUUGUCCAGGCAAAUCCGGAUAAUCAAGGCUGAGGUGUGAUGACGAGGCACUACGGUGCUGAAGUAACAAAUGCCCUGCUUCCAGGAAAAGCCUCUAAGCAUCAGGUAACAUCAAAUCGUACCCCAAACCGACACAGGUGGUCAGGUAGAGAAUACCAAGGCGCUUGAGAGAACUCGGGUGAAGGAACUAGGCAAAAUGGUGCCGUAACUUCGGGAGAAGGCACGCUGGUGUGUAGGUGAAGCCCCUGCGGGUGGAGCUGAGACCAGUCGAAGAUACCAGCUGGCUGCAACUGUUUAUUAAAAACACAGCACUGUGCAAACACGAAAGU
rnacentral:rRNA from 1 species